UACACAACACAACAACCACAACAACUUACCCACCAAGUCGAUGCGAUAGAACUCACCAGACUGUUACAUUUCGUUGGCAUUUUAAGGUGCCAAGUGCAGGUGGAGAAUGAGGAGAAUCCCAGCCUGAGGAGGAGUGAGGAGAUACGGGCCAGGAACCUGGAAGACUCCCACGAGGAAAACAUUCGGUCUCAUCCAGAGUUUUACACACAAGAGCGCCUCCAGCAAUCAACACGCGCUUAUCACGACUGCUGUACGACAAAAAGGCCCCACAAAACACCACAGCACAACGCAUACAGACAGACAGACAAACAAGGAAGAAUCACGCGUCUUCAUGCGACCGUGUCGGAUUGAAGAAAAAAGGGCCCCUGUGGUGGUGCUGUGUCCGAGUCGGAGCUUGGUGAUUCAGCAGCCAUACGGAGCAGGACGGAGACGCGCGUGGAGAGGAGAGAAA